rnacentral:rRNA from 2 species
UAGAGUUUGAUCCAUGGCUCAGAUUGAACGCUGGCGGCAGGCCUAACACAUGCAAGUCGAGCGGUAGAGAGAAGCUUGCUUCUCUUGAGAGCGGCGGACGGGUGAGUAAUGCCUAGGAAUCUGCCUGGUAGUGGGGGAUAACGUUCGGAAACGGACGCUAAUACCGCAUACGUCCUACGGGAGAAAGCAGGGGACCUUCGGGCCUUGCGCUAUCAGAUGAGCCUAGGUCGGAUUAGCUAGUUGGUGAGGUAAUGGCUCACCAAGGCGACGAUCCGUAACUGGUCUGAGAGGAUGAUCAGUCACACUGGAACUGAGACACGGUCCAGACUCCUACGGGAGGCAGCAGUGGGGAAUAUUGGACAAUGGGCGAAAGCCUGAUCCAGCCAUGCCGCGUGUGUGAAGAAGGUCUUCGGAUUGUAAAGCACUUUAAGUUGGGAGGAAGGGCAGUUACCUAAUACGUGAUUGUUUUGACGUUACCGACAGAAUAAGCACCGGCUAA